rnacentral:lncRNA from 1 species
UCAAAAAACAAUAUGGUCACCUUCUGCUACAAGAGGAAAUGAUCUGGAAGCAAAGAUUACGAAUAAUGUGGUGGAAACAUGGUGAUCGAAAUAUAAAAUUUUUCCAUACAAUGGUAAGUUCGAGGAAGUGGAAAAACACCAUAUCAUAUCUGGAACAUAAAUUAAGGAUAGACACUCACUGAUACACCACAAAUUAAAGAAGCUUUCUACUCAUCUCCAACCUUCU